rnacentral:rRNA from 1 species
UACGUAGGGGGCGAGCGUUGUCCGGAAUUACUGGGCGUAAAGAGCACGUAGGCGGCUAUAAAAGUCAGAUGUGAAAAACCUGGGCUCAACCGAGGGUGUGCAUCUGAAACUAAAUAGCUUGAGUCAAGGAGAGGAGAGCGGAAUUCCUGGUGUAGCGGUGAAAUGCGUAGAGAUCAGGAAGAAUACCAGUGGCGAAAGCGGCUCUCUGGACUUGAACUGACGCUGAGGUGCGAAAGCGUGGGGAGCAAACAGG